GGUCAUGAGUGCCAGCGAUCAGCCCCGGCUUGCUGGCCGGCAACCCUCCUCCGCGGUGGGGUGCCCCGGGUGAGGACCUGGCCUGCCGCAAUAACGGCGGCGGGCAAGCGCGAGGU
rnacentral:ncRNA from 2 species